UCCAGGCAAAUCCGGAUAAUCAAGGCUGAGGUGUGAUGACGAGGCACUACGGUGCUGAAGUAACAAAUGCCCUGCUUCCAGGAAAAGCCUCUAAGCAUCAGGUAACAUUAAAUCGUACCCCAAACCGACACAGGUGGUCAGGUAGAGAAUACCAAGGCGCUUGAGAGAACUCGGGUGAAGGAACUAGGCAAAAUGGUGCCGUAACUUCGGGAGAAGGCACGCUGGUGUGUAGGUGAAGUCCCUGCGGAUGGAGCUGAGACCAGUCGAAGAUACCAGCUGGCUGCAACUGUUUAUUAAAAACACAGCACUGUGCAAACACGAAAGUGGACGUAUACGGUGUGACGCCUGCCCGGUGCCGGAAGGUUAAUUGAUGGGGUUAUCCGUAAGGAGAAGCUCUUGAUCGAAGCCCCGGUAAACGGCGGCCGUAACUAUAACGGUCCUAAGGUAGCGAAAUUCCUUGUCGGGUAAGUUCCGACCUGCACGAAUGGCGUAAUGAUGGCCAGGCUGUCUCCACCCGAGACUCAGUGAAAUUGAACUCGCUGUGAAGAUGCAGUGUACCCGCGGCAAGACGGAAAGACCCCGUGAACCUUUACUAUAGCUUGACACUGAACAUUGAGCCUUGAUGUGUAGGAUAGGUGGGAGGCUUUGAAGCGUGGACGCCAGUCUGCGUGGAGCCAACCUUGAAAUACCACCCUUUAAUGUUUGAUGUUCUAACGUUGGCCCCUUACCGGGGUUGCGGACAGUGUCUGGUGGGUAGUUUGACUGGGGCGGUCUCCUCCCAAAGCGUAACGGAGGAGCACGAAGGUUAGCUAAUCCUGGUCGGACAUCAGGAGGUUAGUGCAAUGGCAUAAGCUAGCUUGACUGCGAGCGUGACGGCGCGAGCAGGUGCGAAAGCAGGUCAUAGUGAUCCGGUGGUUCUGAAUGGAAGGGCCAUCGCUCAACGGAUAAAAGGUACUCCGGGGAUAACAGGCUGAUACCGCCCAAGAGUUCAUAUCGACGGCGGUGUUUGGCACCUCGAUGUCGGCUCAUCACAUCCUGGGGCUGAAGUAGGUCCCAAGGGUAUGGCUGUUCGCCAUUUAAAGUGGUACGCGAGCUGGGUUUAGAACGUCGUGAGACAGUUCGGUCCCUAUCUGCCGUGGGCGCUGGAGAAUUGAGGGGGGCUGCUCCUAGUACGAGAGGACCGGAGUGGACGCAUCACUGGUGUUCGGGUUGUCAUGCCAAUGGCACUGCCCGGUAGCUAAAUGCGGAAGAGAUAAGUGCUGAAAGCAUCUAAGCACGAAACUUGCCCCGAGAUGAGUUCUCCCUGAGACUUUAAGUCUCCUGAAGGAACGUUAAAGACGAUGACGUUGAUAGGCCGGGUGUGUAAGCGCAGCGAUGCGUUGAGCUAACCGGUACUAAUGAACCGUGAGGCUUAACCUU
rnacentral:rRNA from 1 species